UACGAAGGGGGCUAGCGUUGCUCGGAAUCACUGGGCGUAAAGCGCACGUAGGCGGAUUGCUAAGUCAGGGGUGAAAUCCUGGAGCUCAACUCCAGAACUGCCUUUGAUGCUGGCGAUCUCGAGUCCGGGAGAGGUGAGUGGAACUGCGAGUGUAGAGGUGAAAUUCGUAGAUAUUCGCAAGAACACCAGUGGCGAAGGCGGCUCACUGGCCCGGUACUGACGCUGAGGUGCGAAAGCGUGGGGAGCAAACAGG
rnacentral:rRNA from 1 species